GAGUUUGAUCCUGGCUCAGGACGAACGCUGGCGGCGCGCCUAACACAUGCAAGUCGAACGAGAGAGAGGGAGCUUGCUUCCUCAAUCGAGUGGCGAACGGGUGAGUAACGCGUGAGGAACCUGCCUCAAAGAGGGGGACAACAGUUGGAAACGACUGCUAAUACCGCAUAAGCCCACAGCUCGGCAUCGAGCAGAGGGAAAAGGAGCAAUCCGCUUUGAGAUGGCCUCGCGUCCGAUUAGCUGGUUGGUGAGGUAAUGGCCCACCAAGGCGACGAUCGGUAGCCGGACUGAGAGGUUGAACGGCCACAUUGGGACUGAGACACGGCCCAGACUCCUACGGGAGGCAGCAGUGGGGAAUAUUGCACAAUGGGGGAAACCCUGAUGCAGCGACGCCGCGUGGAGGAAGAAGGUCUUCGGAUUGUAAACUCCUGUUGUUGAGGAAGAUAAUGACGGUACUCAACAAGGAAGUGACGGCUAACUACGUGCCAGCAGCCGCGGUAAAACGUAGGUCACAAGCGUUGUCCGGAAUUACUGGGUGUAAAGGGAGCGCAGGCGGGAAGACAAGUUGGAAGUGAAAUCUAUGGGCUCAACCCAUAAACUGCUUUCAAAACUGUUUUUCCUGAGUAGUGCAGAGGUAGGCGGAAUUCCCGGUGUAGCGGUGGAAUGCGUAGAUAUCGGGAGGAACACCAGUGGCGAAGGCGGCCUACUGGGCACCAACUGACGCUGAGGCUCGAAAGUGUGGGUAGCAAACAGGAUUAGAUACCUGGUAGUCCACACCGUAAACGAUGAUUACUAGGUGUUGGAGGAUUGACCCCUUCAGUGCCGCAGUUAACACAAUAAGUAAUCCACCUGGGGAGUACGACCGCAAGGUUGAAACUCAAAGGAAUUGACGGGGGCCCGCACAAGCAGUGGAGUAUGUGGUUUAAUUCGACGCAACGCGAAGAACCUUACCAAGUCUUGACAUCCUGCGACGCACAUAGAAAUAUGUGUUUCCUUCGGGACGCAGAGACAGGUGGUGCAUGGUUGCCGUCAGCUCGUGUCGUGAGAUGUUGGGUUAAGUCCCGCAACGAGCGCAACCCUUACUGUCAGUUACUACGCAAGAGGACUCUGGCAGGACUGCCGUUGACAAAACGGAGGAAGGUGGGGAUGACGUCAAAUCAUCAUGCCCUUUAUGACUUGGGCUACACACGUACUACAAUGGCGUUAAACAAAGAGAAGCAAGACCGCGAGGUGGAGCAAAACUCAGAAACAACGUCCCAGUUCGGACUGCAGGCUGCAACUCGCCUGCACGAAGUCGGAAUUGCUAGUAAUCGUGGAUCAGCAUGCCACGGUGAAUACGUUCCCGGGCCUUGUACACACCGCCCGUC
rnacentral:rRNA from 1 species